AUGGAAAUCCAUAAUCUUUUGAAUAUUCAAAGUUGCAGGAAGGUUAAUUACUGGAAGAGCACUUUAACAAAAUUGGAACUGCACUCAAACUCCUACAUGAAGCUCUUAAUUUGUUAUCUGAACACAAGAUGUCUGGCUCAAUAUGCUGAAUUCGGUGAUUCAGUCGCAAAUCGAUCUCUGGUCUUUCUGCUUUCUAUUACCUUUUAA